CGAGAGAUGAAGAGCUUGCUCUUCAAAUCGAGUGGCGAACGGGUGAGUAACGCGUGAGGAACCUGCCUCAAAGAGGGGGACAACAGUUGGAAACGACUGCUAAUACCGCAUAAGCCCACGGCUCGGCAUCGAGCAGAGGGAAAAGGAGUGAUCCGCUUUGAGAUGGCCUCGCGUCCGAUUAGCUAGUUGGUGAGGUAACGGCCCACCAAGGCGACGAUCGGUAGCCGGACUGAGAGGUUGAACGGCCACAUUGGGACUGAGACACGGCCCAGACUCCUACGGGAGGCAGCAGUGGGGAAUAUUGCACAAUGGGGGAAACCCUGAUGCAGCGACGCCGCGUGGAGGAAGAAGGUCUUCGGAUUGUAAACUCCUGUUGUUGAGGAAGAUAAUGACGGUACUCAACAAGGAAGUGACGGCUAACUACGUGCCAGCAGCCGCGGUAAAACGUAGGUCACAAGCGUUGUCCGGAAUUACUGGGUGUAAAGGGAGCGCAGGCGGGAGAACAAGUUGGAAGUGAAAUCCAUGGGCUCAACCCAUGAACUGCUUUCAAAACUGUUUUUCUUGAGUAGUGCAGAGGUAGGCGGAAUUCCCGGUGUAGCGGUGGAAUGCGUAGAUAUCGGGAGGAACACCAGUGGCGAAGGCGGCCUACUGGGCACCAACUGACGCUGA
rnacentral:rRNA from 1 species